AUUACAAAAAAAGCGGGAAUGGAAAUGAAAAAUGCAAGCAAUUUGUUUAAAUUAAAACAAACCGAAAAGAUUACUACCGACAUAAAGUCGAUCGAUAAAUUUCUGCGUGGCGGCAUUGCACUGGGCAAAAUAACCGAGCUAGUUGGCACGCCCGGCACAGGAAAGACACAAAUGUGGCAACUUGAGGCUCUGCUUAAAUGUGCAGUUACCUCAGAAAAUUGGCGGAGUGGAAGGCAAAGCUUUAUUUCUAGACACCCGAAAAGACUUUGAUCCCGCCAGAUUACAAGAGUUGGCAACGGAUCUGGAGAAGCGCCUUCAAAAUCAAUUGACAGACUUUAAAGCUAGCGAUAUGUUAAAAAAUGUAUUUUAUUUGGAUUGUCCAAGUGCUGCUCAACUGAUCGCAAGCAUUUUAAAUUUACGCAAGUUACUGAGUGCUCAACCCACUAUCAAACUAAUUGUUGUGGACUCAUUGGCAUUUCCAAUUCGAAUGCUGGAAAGCGUAGCUGAGCGAACUGCUCUUCUCAUGGAAAUACACGAUGCCAUGCAGAGAAUACUGCGCCUUUACAGUGUAACCUUUGUGAUAACUAAUGAGCUUGGAUACCACCGACGCAAACGUCGUUGGCAAUUACAGCCGAUAUUGGGUCAAAAACACAUGCAUUUAAUUAAUGAGCGCAUCUGGUGUACCGAAAAUGAGUAUUUUAUGGGCAAAACGCUUAAUACCAGAAUGUUUAUUACUAAAAAAUGAUGUCUGUGAUUCAUUUUGUAUAAGUUAUUCUUCUUGAUAAUAUUGUAUUUUUAAAAUAAAAUUCUUACAAAAUAAAAUAUAUCUGUAGAUUA